UGUUAAUUAGGAUAAAUAGUCUAAGGGGUUCAUACCCUCAAGGUUCCUAGUGUAGGAAU
rnacentral:tRNA from 1 species